AUGGGCUUCUCGUCUGUUCUAUCGAUCACCUGUAGCUCUCGGGAGUAUUUUGUUCUUCCUUUCUUCUUAAGGAGUCAAUUUCCCUUUUUAUUGCAGGCAGAUGUCUGGAAAGAAGAAUACGAACGCCGCUUGGAACAGAUGUUAACCUGCAGAAAGUCUUGGGUAAACGGGUCGUCCAGGAACAUUGUUAUUUUUCUUAUCUCCCUGGAAUGGAGUGCUUCAAGCAGGCCAGAAAUCAACCUACGAAAAAUGUACUUAGAAUAUACUCAUUUCAGCAAACUGCUAUGUGUUUAUGUUCAAAUCUAUGAGUGGCUACCUUAAAAAAGCAUCAAACUUGGCAAAUCACAAAACAGUGUGUGUUUCCUUUGUAUUACUUGAAACAGUCUGCACAUUCUUGAUAAUUUCCCUUCAAAGCACUUGCUUUUAGCCUUUUCAAACACACAUGAAUAAUUUGUUUCUAUUGAGGUACGAAGUCUUCUCUGAUAGUAAACUAAGAAUCUUGAG
rnacentral:lncRNA from 1 species